rnacentral:rRNA from 1 species
GACGAACGCUGGCGGCGUGCUUAACACAUGCAAGUCGAGCGGAAAGGCCCUGCUUUUGUGGGGUGCUCGAGUGGCGAACGGGUGAGUAACACGUGAGUAACCUGCCCUUGACUUUGGGAUAACUUCAGGAAACUGGGGCUAAUACCGGAUAGGAGCUCCUGCUGCAUGGUGGGGGUUGGAAAGUUUCGGCGGUUGGGGAUGGACUCGCGGCUUAUCAGCUUGUUGGUGGGGUAGUGGCUUACCAAGGCUUUGACGGGUAGCCGGCCUGAGAGGGUGACCGGCCACAUUGGGACUGAGAUACGGCCCAGACUCCUAUGGGAGGCAGCAGUGGGGAAUAUUGCACAAUGGGCGGAAGCCUGAUGCAGCAACGCCGCGUGCGGGAUGACGGCCUUCGGGUUGUAAACCGCUUUCGCCUGUGACGAAGCGUGAGUGACGGUAAUGGGUAAAGAAGCACCGGCUAACUACGUG